AGAGUUUGAUUAUGGCUCAGAACGAACGCUUGCUGCAUGCUUUAUACAUGCAAGUCGAACGGAGGCCCUAGCUUGCUAGGUGUCCUUAGUGGCGCACGGGUGAGUAACACGUGGGAACAUACCUUAUAGUACGGAAUAACUGCGGGAAACUGUAGCUAAUACCGUAUAUUCCAGUAAUGGGAAAGAUUUAUCGCUAUAAGAUUGGCCCGCGCAAGAUUAGCUUGUUGGUGAGGUAAUGGCUCACCAAGGCUCCGAUCUUUAGCUGGUUUGAGAGGAUGAUCAGCCACACUGGGACUGAGACACGGCCCAGACUCCUACGGGAGGCAGCAGUAGGGAAUAUUGGACAAUGGGGGAAACCCUGAUCCAGCAAUGCAGCGUGAGUGACGAAGGCCUUAGGGUUGUAAAACUCUUUCAUCUGUGAGGAUAAUGACAGUAGCAGAAGAAGAAGGACCGGCUAAUUCCGUGCCAGCAGCCGCGGUAAUACGGAAGGUCCUAGCGUUGUUCGGAAUUACUGGGCGUAAAGCGCAUGUAGGCGGAACAAAAAGUUAGAAGUGAAAUCCCUGGGCUCAACCUAGGAAUUGCUUUUAAAACUUUUGUUCUGGAAUUCAGGGGAGGAAAGUGGAAUUUCCAGUGUAGAGGUGAAAUUCGUAGAUAUUGGAAGGAACACCAGUGGCGAAGGCGACUUUCUGGACUGAUAUUGACGCUGAGAUGCGAAGGCAUGGGUAGCAAACGGGAUUAGAUACCCCGGUAGUCCAUGCAGUAAACGAUGGGUGCUAGUCGUCGGACUUUUGUUCGGUGUCGUAGCUAACGCGUU
rnacentral:rRNA from 1 species